rnacentral:rRNA from 1 species
UACGAAGGGGGCUAGCGUUGCUCGGAAUUACUGGGCGUAAAGGGCGCGUAGGCGGAUAUUUAAGUUGGGGGUGAAAUCCCGGGGCUCAACCUCGGAAUUGCCUUCAAAACUGGAUAUCUUGAGUUCGGGAGAGGUGAGUGGAACUCCGAGUGUAGAGGUGAAAUUCGUAGAUAUUCGGAAGAACACCAGUGGCGAAGGCGACUCACUGGCCCGAUACUGACGCUGAGGCGCGAAAGCCAGGGGAGCGAACGGG